GCUAGACCUGUUCUUGGGGUUGGAAGCCAGACCACCCCACCUCUUAGACCGCCCACUACUAUAGUGACUGAGGAUUGGGAACAAUUCGAAUAGAGUAGCUAUAUACGUUUCCAUUUUAUGAUUUUUGAAGAAACAAAAAAUGCCAGUUAUUUAGGCACUACUGACCACUAUUAUUUUGUCAUCUAUACUGUCGUUACAGUAAAAUAUUUUUGGUGGA
rnacentral:misc_RNA from 1 species